rnacentral:lncRNA from 13 species
CUACCACUCCGGCCCACUCCCCUACCGCUCUGGCCACCCUCCUACUGCUCCGGCCACCCUCCUACCGCUCCAGCCCGCUCCCCUACUGCUCUGGCCACCCUCCUACCACUCCAGCUGCUGCAGUUUCUGUCACCACCGCUCCAGCCACUGCAGUUUCCAUCACCACCACCCACUGCAGCGAGGCCAGCCACGGUACCACAGGCUGCAUGCAGCCUCCAGCAUGCAGUAGGUAGCUCCGCCACCCCUACUCCUGGUCCUCUAAGCCAGGAACACAGUGGCUCCGCAAGAAGAUGCGCAUGCCUUAUAUACUGAGGUUUUUGCCCAUGGAUCCUGGACUGCAUGUUCUCAUUGGAUGAGAGAAAACCUUUAGGCCUACUCUGAUUGGGUUUUAUUUUCAUGCUCUGAUUGGUUGGCCUCAGACUUGUUUUCAUCCAAUGAGACCGUGUAGUUCAGGAACCUCUGUGCAUAACCUCAGUAUAUAAAUGGCUCUGUUGGGCAGGCACUCCAUUCCAGGCUUUUCUGUGUCCAUGGGCUGUGCUCUUUGGUGCCGGGCUUAGAGGAGUAGAAGACGGGAGAGCCAGCUGCCACCUGGUGGAAGCUGGAGUCUGCAGUCCUGCGGUUCGCCUUGCUGCAGCUCACCAUGGUAGCCACAAAGUCAUGCCCCUGGAGCGACUUUACCUUGUGGGUUCACAGGGGAGACUACUGUUGCUAAACCCUGCUGAGCGUCGUUUCUGGUGGGCAGAGUUGACAAGCCACCUGCUUCUUCACUACUCCUGACUCAUCUCUGCAGAGCAGACACACCUCACUUUUUGGGCAUCACUGAAGAAUGUUCUGCCUCAUCUUUGGGGCCAUCACCUGCAAUACAGGCUUCCUGGGCAUGGUCACGGGUAUGGGAGCCAUGCACUGGUGCUGCCUGAGGACCCAGCGGGCCAACCCCCUGGCGUGUGCCGUGGACAUUGCUGGGCUCUGACAUCUUCAUCUGCCUGAUCUUCAUGGCUGCCAAGAGCAGCAUCGUGGGGGCCUAUAUCCAUAUCUUCAUCGGAGAGACACUGCUAUUUUCCAACUGGGCCAUCACCGCCGACAUCCUCAUGGUGAGCCAGGCAGGCAGAGAUCACCUUAUGCAGCUGACCCAGGCCUGGACCUCACAGGGGCAGCUGGGAAGGGUGGGUGAAGGGGCAGGAGAGCUGGUUGGGAGUGGGCAGGAAGGCAGACCUGCCAGAAAGGUGAAGCCAGAGGCAGGGAGGGAAUCAGAGUUUGGGGUCUGCGUCUGGACAGAGCCAGGAAGCAGAGGGCUGGGCAGGCAGAGUGAGAUGUGGGGACCGGGUGGGGAGGGGUGUCUCAAGGCUCAGGUUAGUGUCUGGGAGGCUGGCAGUGCCAGGCUGGCACUGAGGUACUGCUGCCUGCCAGCACUCCUCCCCCCAGGUCUGAGUGUUCAUGGGCUCUGCCCCUCCUUACUCAGCCUGGCUGCCAGGCACACCUGCCCAAGUGCUUGUGGCUGGGGCUGGCAGACAGAGGCCUUCUUCAAAGGGCCAACAAUGGGCUCCAGACCAGCCGGCUGGGGAAAAAGGGCCAUCUGA